rnacentral:ncRNA from 12 species
UUAUAGCAUUGUGUAACCGGUCCUGUGAGUUAAAAGGGAACCCAGUGCAAAUCUGGGGCUGACGCGCAGCGGUAAGGAAGGUGGGAUGAACGCAUUAUGCAGACACUGCCGAUGUCAGGUGGGAAGUCCUCAUCCAUAACACGCCCCAAGCCCGAAGACCUGCCGGAAUACGUCGCAUUUGG